GAACUUUCCAGAGAUGGAUUGGUGCCUUCGGGAACUCUGAGACAGGUGCUGCAUGGCUGUCGUCAGCUCGUGUUGUGAAAUGUUGGGUUAAGUCCCGCAACGAGCGCAACCCUUAUCCUUUGUUGCCAGCGGUUAGGCCGGGAACUCAAAGGAGACUGCCAGUGAUAAACUGGAGGAAGUGGGGAUGACGUCAAGUCAUCAUGGCCCUUACGAGUAGGGCUACACACGUGCUACAAUGGCGCAUACAAAGAGAAGCGACCUCGCGAGAGCAAGCGGACCUCAUAAAGUGCGUCGUAGUCCGGAUUGGAGUCUGCAACUCGACUCCAUGAAGUCGGAAUCGCUAGUAAUCGUGGAUCAGAAUGCCACGGUGAAUACGUUCCCGGGCCUUGUACACACCGCCCGUCACACCAUGGGAGUGGGUUGCAAAAGAAGUAGGUAGCUUAACCUUCGGGAGGGCGCUUACCACUUUGUGAUUCAUGACUGGGGUGAAGUCGUAACAAGGUAGGCGUAGUGCU
rnacentral:rRNA from 1 species